GACGGACUGGUUUGGAUUGCAAGAGGAAACAGUUUGGUGUGGUCUUACAAUGGAUUUAUUUCUUUGGGGCCAAACUGUUUCAGCCCUCUGGUUUUGAUAGGGAAGAACAAAGGCAUGGUCACUACUUAGUUUUCCUUCCCCCUUUUUGCUACUCUGUUAGUUUGUUGGACCCAAAUUUUUAGUGGUACAUGUUUCAUAAUAUUAGCUGGUGUUUAAAUAUCUGAAGUAAUGUUUUGAUUUGCUUAUGUUUUAGUGAUGGGAGCAAGUUUUAGAAAUUGACCAAGCUAAUCACAUUCACACCAGUUAGUUACUUGGCAAUUAGCAUUUCCGUGUUUUCGCUUUUUGCUCUUGUGGAAAUCGGCACUAGACCACAUACCUAGAAGAAAAGAUGAUUAUGUAUUGUAGUAAAGAUUUUCCAUUCUUAAAUGCAUGUGAUACUCAAUCUUAGUGCUAAACAUCACUCGUGCAGGUGUGGACACGAGUUCUGCGCUACUCCUGUGGUCAUUGUUUGGAGAAGUUUUCCUAAAGCUUCUUUAUGUAUAUUCUUAGUCUUUUUUUAGAACAAUGUCAUAACCUACUAAUAGUUGUUUAUCACUAUAUUCUUUUGUUCCUACUAUUCCUUGAUAUGCCAGAUCUCAACUUUUGUGCUAAUAUACAUCUCUAGGCAUGUUGUAUGUGCAUCAUUUCAAAAAAAACACUUACCAAAAGAGUGGUCUGUACCAAACAUUUUGCCUUCAAGACUUCAACUCAUAACCUUGUAUAGUCUGAAAUCCUUAGGAUUGGUUCUGAACCUCAGUUUGAUGGAGGUGUUACAAAACUUAGAAGGGAUACUAAAUUUCUCUUUGUAGUAUGAGUGAACAGAAGUAGGAUUUGUCACAAUCUCACUAUUUUACCAAGCUAACCAAAUAACAAAUUUGGCCAGUAUGUAUGUGCAUCAUUUCAAAAAAAACUGUUACCAAAAGGGUGGUAUGUACCAAACAUUUUGCCUUCAAGGCUUCAACCCAUAACCUUGUACAGUCUGGAAUCCUUAGGAUUUGUACUGAACCUCAGUAGGUGUUACAGAACUUAGAAGAGAUACUGGAUUUCUCUUUGUAGUAGGAGUGAACAAAAGUAGGAUUUGUCACAAUCUCACACUUUUACCAAGCUAACUAAAUACCAAAAUUCGGCCAGUUACAGACAGUCAGACACUGAUCUUAACUUGCUCGAACAGUCUUAAACCUUUUUGUAUCAAAGGCUCAUAGCAUAUCAAACGCUUCUAAUGAAACCUUAACACACCGCAAGAAAACACCAAGCAUCGAAUUUGUUCAGUGUGUGUGAAGUAGUAGUGUAUGAUCAUGCCAUACAUAUUUUUCUACACAUCUCAAAUUCUAGAUUUAAUUUGGUUACAUGUUAUACAUGUAUCUUAGAUUUUUGAUAACUGGUCACAGAGCGGUUCAAAUUGAAUUUGACAUGGAGUUCAGAUGUCCUUUCAUAUUCUGUUACUGAGGUUAUUUCCAAAUAGUGAUUCAGAUCUAAUGAUUUUAUGAUGCAAUUUAUUCUACAACAUUUAAAUGCCAGAACGCUCAUUAGAGGCUGAACAUUUAAUGGUUAUAGGAUUAGGCCUAAAACGGCGUUUUGCAGCGAUUAAACGCUACAUUUUUUGUGUUUAAACGCUUUAAGCUAGAAAUGCUGUUGAUUUUGUGUAUUAUAUUUAGAGUAUGACAUUUUUCCAAGAUCUAUGUUUUAAAUGCAAGGAUAUUGAGAUUUUUUAGAUAUUUUAUUUUAAAUGCUAAUUCAUAUAUUUUUUUCCUUGCCGAAUGUAACCCCUAAGAAGACUGAAGAGACUGCUUUGAUAUCUGAUGUUGUUGCAAAUUCACCACAACAAGGUUUUCAUAGUGGGCAUUGCUGGAGUGAUCUCAUCUGAGAUGAUUUUGGCAUAACUCCUAAAAGAGGAGGCGCUUCUGCUCAUGCUAAGAAAGCAAGCUUUGACCGUGAAACCUAAUGGCAGAAAAGUCCUUCCUCCCCCAAGUCCCUAGAGCCUAGACGAAUGGCGCUGCAGCUCACUGUUCCUUCUUCAGUUCACUCAUGUAGUCCUAUUCAUGUAUGAGGUUUUUCCCUUUUAAAUUCAUAUGCAGAACAUGGUUUGAGCCUCCCAUCACUCAGUCCACACUGUAGUUGACAGACAUCAACUGUAUUUGUGGUUUUAAUAGUUUGUAUCAGGAGAGUGCAUCUUGAUUUACUAAAGUUAAUGUAGUCUCAAGUUUAUGUAUAAUCAGUUCUAAUCUUGUUUUUUAUUGAACAAUAUGUGUUUCUAGGUCCAUUAACCAGACUAAAGUAGUGCAUAUUUUAAAUUGAAUAUUUUUCUUCUUUUCGGUGAGAAGUGAAAAGUGGAAGACAUUUCAGUUCUGCACUUGUAAGUAAAGUAUUUCUCUUAUACUCUUGUUCCAAUCACUCUGUUAUUGAUUGUUUAAUAAAUCAUUCAAUAUGAGCAGAGCCCUUUUCUUAUUCCUGGAUACCUGUGAGGAGUCUUAUAUCAUUUUGUGUUUAGUCUAUUUAUUUAUGAUUAAAAUAUUUUUUUCAUAAUGGCAAAGCUAAGUUCGAUUACCAUGAAGCCACAAAAUUACAAGUGUUAGGUUUGAGACAAUGGUGAUGCAGAGAAACGGUAGCAAAAGCCGUCACCUUUGAACAGCAAAAGCCGGCAAGACAAAUUCCCAAACUAACAAGCUUAAAUCUAGUUACAACUGAAUACAAAGGACCACAACAGUUGAUAAAUUCCACAGUCCAGAAACACUAGUUACAAGCCCACUGCUAACACCACCCACAACUUGAAAAAACACAUCAUUUUUAUAUUUGAUCUCCAAAUAUUGCUAUCAUCUAUUCAGAUUUCUGGCUAGGCGAAGACACAGAGCAAUAUUGACUCUAGAGUGUGCACAAGAUAUAGAAAUUUGUAAUAAAGCUCCCAUUGCUUUACUUCCCUUUUCAUUGUAUCAUUCUUGUGUUGUAUGCAACAGCCUGUUCUGGCACCAUCCUCUUUUAUGUCUUAUUGGCUUAUGGGAAUUAUGAAAAGCCUUUUGUUUGGACUAAAGACCACUUGGCCAAGCUUUAUUGAAAGCAUAGGAGGAGUUACUGGAGCAAGCCAGUUUACAAGCAAAAAAUGAAAGAAAAACAUAACUCAAACUCUGCUACAUGUUGUCCCUCUGUUCUAUUUAGUUAUCCACGGUGUCUAUUAUUCUUAUUUCCACUAAUGACUAGACUAAUGAUUAUUUGCUCUUGUUACCAUCCUCACAGUGUGGUUGAAAUUACCUACUAUGCAGUGUAGUUGAAGUUAUCUUCCUGAUUGGAAGAUAAGGAAGGUUUGAGGAGCUCAUUUCUGAAGUUGUAGCUGGAAGGGAGAAGAGCUCAUGUUAAUGGUAUUUUGACUGCUCCAAAACACUUUCGACUUGUGAUAUUCUUUAACCUAUAUGCGUUGAAGAAUUUUUGGAGACAAAGCAUGCAAGCACAGAGUCUGCUCUGGUGGUAAGAUAAGUGAGGUGACUUCUGAAGAAGCCUACAGAGAAUGUAAAAAUAAGUGUGUUAUUUUCACUGCUUUGACACAGUCUCAAUUGUGCAAUGAUUUAUUAUCACAUUGUAAUUUGACAUAUGCUACAUGAUCCUAAAUUAUGUUGUAAUGAAUGUUCUACU
rnacentral:lncRNA from 7 species